UGGGGAAUAUUGGACAAUGGGCGAAAGCCUGAUCCAGCCAUGCCGCGUGUGUGAAGAAGGCCUUUUGGUUGUAAAGCACUUUAAGCGAGGAGGAGGCUACUUAGAUUAAUACUCUAGGAUAGUGGACGUUACUCGCAGAAUAAGCACCGGCUAACUCUGUGCCAGCAGCCGCGGUAAUACAGAGGGUGCGAGCGUUAAUCGGAUUUACUGGGCGUAAAGCGUGCGUAGGCGGCUUUUUAAGUCGGAUGUGAAAUCCCUGAGCUUAACUUAGGAAUUGCAUUCGAUACUGGGAAGCUAGAGUAUGGGAGAGGAUGGUAGAAUUCCAGGUGUAGCGGUGAAAUGCGUAGAGAUCUGGAGGAAUACCGAUGGCGAAGGCAGCCAUCUGGCCUAAUACUGACGCUGAGGUACGAAAGCAUGGGGAGCAAACAGG
rnacentral:rRNA from 7 species